rnacentral:rRNA from 1 species
GUCCCAGCUGUAACGAUGGUAACUAGAUGUGGGAGGUAUCGACCCUUCCGUGUCGUCGCUAACGCUUUAAGUUACCCGCCUGGGAGUACGGCCGCAAGGUUAACUCAAGGAAUUGACGGGCCCGCACAAGCGGUGGAGCAUGUGGUUUAAUUCGACGCUACGCGAAGAACCUUACCUGGGCUCGAACGACUGGUAGUAGUCCGAUUGAAAGAUUGGGCGACCCGCAAGGGAGCCAGCCGAGGUGCUGCAUGGCUGUCGU